AAAGUACUCCCUCCGUCCCAAAAUUCUUGUCUUAGAUUUUUCUAGAUACAGAUGUAUCAAGUCACAUUUUAGUAUUAGAUACAUCCAUAUCUAGACAAAUUUAAGACAAGAAAUUUGGGAUAGCGGGAGUAUUUU
rfam:Triticum aestivum genome assembly, contig: Triticum_aestivum_CS42_TGACv1_scaffold_569034_7AS